GUGAAUAUCACAGCACUUUUUGUUUACAAUAAAUUGAAAGAGGCAAAUAUUCAGAAAGAUGCAGGCUUUCAGAGUGACGAUUGUUGCUCUUGUUGUCAUCAUGAUGCUGGUCUCCAUCUCUUUGGCUAAACCAGCCCAUGUGAUUGAGAAGCGCUCAAGUGAAGAGUAUCGCCGCCCUAUGAUCACCAACAACAUGUCGAUCACCCAGCUUAUUCAGCUGCUGCAGCUUGCGGGGCUCCUUAGAACAUGAUGGGAUCGUGUUUUGAAUAAAUAACCUACUGGUUUAACGCAAAUGAAAGCAAUAAAGAACAUUUAAAAUGCAA